rnacentral:lncRNA from 1 species
UCUGAAUUGAAGGCCACAUUGAAUAUGAUUCAGUGUUCCAAAUUGAAGGCCGAUUGAAUAUGCUCAGAAAAUUGGUCGCUUCAGAUUCUAAGGGAAAUUGAAUCCGGUCGUUUCGCUUGGAACGUUUGGGAUUGAAUACUGAAAUUGCAAUCAUAUAUUCAUCACACGUGUUUUCUCCACUCAUAUGCAAAACCUUCCGACUCUCAUGUUCAAGAAGGUUGAAGAUUCAAUGUCUGCGACGGUGGUGGUUGUGCUGGCCAUAAUUGGGUUACCCAUGUCGGAAAGCGAAGAGUGUAUACUGCAUAGGAGUGAAGAUUUGCUUGAUAAGUGAUUUGGAGAUCAACUCAAUGCUAGCUUCUUUUGAUUUAUACUAGCCGACAAAUAUUUAGACUUUAUUGGACUUGGGUUUUUUUGGUGAAGUUUUGAUAUAUGUUGAACCUUAUUGGAUUUGCAGUUGCAUUAGUUGAGGUUAUUUUCUCCCGGGUUGUUUUUCGGUUGUCUCCGAUUACAGGUCAGAAGCUGCUUUUGU